UUUUCAUAUUGAAAUUCACAACCACACUUUCAUUAACAACACAACUCAUAGUAUAUUUACGAUACUAUUCACAACAUACUUGUCUCACACCUAUCUAUACUAAGACAGGGUUUACAAAAGGGAUGGGAUCUCAAUCCACAUCCGGGUUAUAUUUAAGAUCCCUCUCUGGAUCAUCUUCUUCUUCAAAAGUCUUUCUCCUCUUCAGGUUCCUCUUCCUUAGAUUCUCCUCAGGGUCCUGAAAUGGUUAUUCAAUAACCAAUGAGACCACGUCUCAGCGAGUCCUACCCCCUACGACUCGAUUAGUAAACUAAUACACCAUACGGUUGCCUAAGCACAACACGAGUCAGAGGACUUACCUUAGCCUCAGUUCCAACCUGCAAUUCAAGGUUAAACAUAGAUAUUCAAACAAUUCACGACAUCCGAUCAAGCACUGGUCAAUCGACUAAGUCGAUUACAUGUCAGCCAGACCCUUUCUAGGUCAUUCCCACUCAUACCACGAUUUCCCAGUGGUGUACUCAUUCUCCAAAUCACAUGUGUUUCUCGGACGUCGUUUUCGCCAAUGACAUACCGAUCACCGACACCGUGCAUUCUUUAAGGCGCCGUUUUCACCAAUGAUAACCUUGAUCACCGAACCACGUGUCCUUUCAAGGGCGCCGUUUUCGCCAAGGUGACAUCGGCUAUAGACAACAUCGUGCGUUCUUUAAGGCGCCGUUUUCACCAGUGAUAUUCCCAUAACCACCGAACCACGUUUGUCUAUAAGUCAUUUACGUGCGUUCUUUAAGGCGCCGUUUUCGCCAGUGAUACUUCCAAUCACCGAACCACGUAUGUCCAAUAACAUCGUACCUGAUUGGUCUCAGCCAAUAACAUUCUCAGCUAGCUCUCACCAUUCUCCCUACUAUAUAGCCCAUCAACGUACUGGCGUUAUAUACUCAUGCUCGGCCAUCCAUCAAUCAAAUAUUCAAUAACAAACAAUUUAGGACAAUUCCUAAAAUUCCGCAAUAAAUUCAAUUCCACACAACGUAGAGCUCAAAUAAAUAAAUGGGCUGCACCACGACAAUCAGCACGAAAUUCCGGUCACCGGCCAUCCCGGUUGAAUUUCCGGAAAAAUAAUUAAUUAAAUAAAUAAAUUUCGAAAAUAAAUAAAUAAACAUUGAAAAUCCAAUUUAGGCCCAUAUUGCCUUAUUGGAGCCCGAAACGGGUCGGGAAAAAUCCCGAGAUGCAUUCAAUAAAUAACCAAACAUUUCUACUUGCUAAUAGCUAGGUCUAACCACCUAACAUGCAUCAUUAAGUCACUAAACUAAUUGUUCUAACCUAAUCUAACCACCUAAUUGCACUUAAUUAAAUCUAACCAACCUUAAGCAUAAUUAGCAAACUAAUAAAGCAUUAGUGAGUAAAACUCACUUGAUCAAAAGCGGGGAUCGAAUCACCGCAACGGCGACUCGACGGCGGCCGAAAUCGGACUUUCGACGACACCGGCGGACUUGGACCGGGCCUUAAGCUUAGGCCCAACAAAUCUCAGCCCAAUUGAGAUUUGUUCUUGCACUGGAAUGGGCUUGCUCUUGGACUUGGGCCUAGCUGCGAUUGGGCUUCAAAAACUGGGCUUGAAGACUGCAAUUGCUGAAAAUGGGCUUGAAAUAAAACUGAAUUGGGCCUGUCUUUGCUGGGCCCGAAAGACUGAAAUUGCUGGGCUUCCAAUCCAAUUGAUGCUGGGCUGGAAAUGCCUCUGCAGAUGGGCUGACGCAAGCUCAACUGGAGAUGGGCUUUGCUGGGCGUGGAACCUAGUCUUGGGCUGAAGAUACACGGACGACUGGGCUUGGAAUUCGCUGGGCUGCUGGAGAUGGCAUCACGAAAAUGGAACAGCAGGCGUGAGUUGCUGGGUCAACACGGAGGCGUCCAGCUGAGAACUCGCUGCUUCGCUGACCGAGUGAAGGGCUCCUGGCAGCUGGAUUCGAGCGCGGCUUCAGCUGAAGACGUGAGCUGAGCGAGCAGCAGCUUUGGUCUUCGUGCACUGGAGUUUCUUCAAUGUUUCGGCAGUCCAAGACUUCGUGGCUUCGCUGGGUCGACGGGCUGGAGAAGAUUGAAGACGGAAGCUGCUCGCGGACGCUGCUUCGCUGGACGCACGAAGCGGUGAGGAGCUUCAGUCAACAAAAUGGUUUCGGUGCUUGCUGUGGUCUUCGAUGGUUGACCGGGGAAGCAGAAUCGCGGACAGCUAGUCGCGGAUGGAGAGAAGAUGGCGUUCGGUGGAGUCUUCGUGAGUGGAGGGGCGACGCGCGCGCUUAAGGAGCUGCGGGCGUGAGAUCAGGGUCUUCGGUGGAGAUGCUGGCGUGCGACGCUGAAAAUGGGCAGCUUCGGUCUUCGAGAUUCACGGUUGCUGCUCAGUCAACAAACGAGGCCAUCGAGGAAGGCUCUGACCGAAGGGGACCAACGGUAGUGGGGGCUGGCGUGAACUUCAGUUUUCGAAGAGAAGAGCUGCGGGUUCUCAACCGAAGAAAAAUGAAAGCGGAACGGCAGAGAAUCAGAAAUCGAGCAGAAGCUGAGACCGCCGAGUCCAAAUGAAAAGGAGCCGUGUGCGAGGAAGAAGAUAAG
rnacentral:lncRNA from 1 species